rnacentral:sRNA from 1 species
AGGUUGAAUCGGUAGGUAAGGCUACCGCAGGGAUAUGGAUCGCUGCCGCAAACCAGUGGAGACACUGCGCGCAGGUCAGCAGUUCUUGUCGAAUCAAGGCAUGAACUAAUGCGAUGCCACCGCCCUGCGAAGCUGAAGCUCAGACGAUGACGAGGAAG